rnacentral:rRNA from 1 species
GAUGAACGCUGGCGGCGUGCCUAAUACAUGCAAGUCGAGCGAACGGACGAGAAGCUUGCUUUUCUGAUGUUAGCGGCGGACGGGUGAGUAACACGUGGAUAACCUACCUAUAAGACUGGGAUAACUUCGGGAAACCGGAGCUAAUACCGGAUAAUAUUUUGAACCGCAUGGCUCAAAAGUGAAAGACGGUCUUGCUGUCACUUAUAGAUGGAUCCGCGCUGCAUUAGCUAGUUGGUAAGGUAACGGCUUACCAAGGCAACGAUGCAUAUCCGACCUGAGAGGGUGAUCGGCCACACUGGAACUGAGACACGGUCCAGACUCCUACGGGAGGCAGCAGUAGGGAAUCUUCCGCAAUGGGCGAAAGCCUGACGGAGCAACGCCGCGUGAGUGAUGAAGGUCUUCGGAUCGUAAAACUCUGUUAUUAGGGAAGAACAUAUGUGUAAGUAACAGUGCACAUCUUGACGGUACCUAAUCAGAAAGCCACGGCUAACUACGUG